ACAGAGGGGGCAAGCGUUAUUCGGAAUUAUUGGGCGUAAAGGGCGCGUAGGCGGCUUUUCAAGUGACGGGUGAAAUCCCUCGGCUUAACCGAGGAACUGCCUGUCAGACUGGAAGGCUUGAGACCGGGAGAGGUGAGUGGAAUUCCGAGUGUAGAGGUGAAAUUCGUAGAUAUUCGGAAGAACACCAGUGGCGAAGGCGACUCACUGGACACGUAUUGACGCUGAGGUGCGAAAGCGUGGGGAGCAGACAGGA
rnacentral:rRNA from 1 species